GGAGUGAAUAACUUGAAGCCUACAACAGCUAACUCGUUAGUCUAAAGCUACAGAGAAUCUUCCAGAGUCCAAAAGGCCAAACUUCCUGACUUAGUGCACUUUCUGUGACUUACAACAGAAGCCAGCACAGCAUCUAACACAUAGAGGGUGUGCCACAAAUAGUUACUGAAAAAAGAAAACAAGGAAUGAAGAAUUGAAUGAACAAAUACCAAAUGUGCUGCAUGAAUUUUGGAAGGAGGACAUUUUCCUCCAGACCUUCCGCCUCCUUGCACAGAAAAUGGAAGAGCUAGUUUCUUCCUCUUGCUCUUCAUCAUCUGAAUCAGACUCAUCGUUAUAGAAGUAUAUCAUGGCUUGCACUGGAAAACUGACCAGCACUUUUUCCCCAGAACACUGCAAAUAUUAUUGACAUUUCA